rnacentral:rRNA from 1 species
UACGAAGGGGGCUAGCGUUGUUCGGAUUUACUGGGCGUAAAGCGCACGUAGGCGGAUUGUUAAGUGAGAGGUGAAAUCCCGGAGCUCAACUCCGGAACUGCCUUUCAUACUGGCAAUCUAGAGUCCGGAAGAGGUGAGUGGAACUCCUAGUGUAGAGGUGGAAUUCGUAGAUAUUAGGAAGAACACCAGUGGCGAAGGCGGCUCACUGGUCCGGUACUGACGCUGAGGUGCGAAAGCAUGGGGAGCGAACAGG